UGCGCACACACAGUGCACACUCCCUCUAAGCAUCUCUUUUCCUCCCUCUUUUUCGAAAGAGUGAUCCCCCGCCAGAGCCCUCAAUUUUCUCAGAUCGAACCCCUAAUUUUCUCGGGAAAACGAAGAGGAAAGGAAAUAGAAAAAGAAUAUGCCGCGAGAAAUCAUCACUCUGCAAGUGGGACAAUGUGGGAACCAGAUCGGGAUGGAGUUCUGGAAGCAACUCUGCCUCGAGCACGGCAUCAGCAAAGAUGGCAUCCUCGAAGAUUUCGCUACUCAGGGAGGUGACAGAAAAGACGUGUUUUUCUACCAAGCUGAUGAUCAACACUACAUACCACGAGCUUUGCUGAUUGAUUUGGAGCCUAGGGUUAUUAAUGGUAUUCAGAACAGUGAAUAUAGAAAUCUCUACAAUCAUGAGAAUGUAUUUAUUGCAGAUCAUGGAGGUGGUGCUGGAAAUAACUGGGCCAGUGGAUAUCAUCAGGGGAAGGGUGUUGAGGAGGACAUAAUGGAUAUGAUUGAUAGAGAAGCAGAUGGAAGUGAUAGUCUUGAGGGUUUUGUUUUAUGCCACUCAAUAGCUGGAGGAACAGGAUCAGGUAUGGGUUCAUAUUUGCUGGAGACUCUGAAUGAUCGCUACAGCAAAAAACUUGUUCAGACAUAUAGUGUAUUCCCUAACCAGAUGGAGACAAGUGAUGUGGUGGUCCAGCCUUACAAUUCACUUUUGACCCUCAAGAGACUUACCCUAAAUGCUGAUUGUGUUGUUGUUCUUGAUAAUACUGCACUCAAUAGAAUUGCUGUGGAGCGACUUCAUCUUGCAAAUCCUACUUUUGCUCAAACAAAUUCAUUGGUGUCUACUGUCAUGUCAGCAAGCACAACCACAUUGCGUUAUCCUGGAUAUAUGAACAAUGACUUAGUUGGCCUUCUUGCCUCCUUAAUUCCAACGCCAAGAUGCCAUUUUCUAAUGACUGGAUACACACCACUUACAGUGGAGCGCCAGGCUAAUGUGAUUCGUAAAACUACUGUGCUAGAUGUUAUGAGGAGACUUCUGCAGACAAAGAAUAUCAUGGUUUCCUCUUAUGCUCGCACAAAAGAAGCUAGUCAGGCGAAAUACAUAUCAAUAUUGAAUAUUAUUCAAGGGGAAGUGGACCCUACUCAGGUUCAUGAAAGUUUGCAGAGAAUACGUGAAAGAAAACUUGUUAAUUUUAUUGAAUGGGGUCCUGCAAGCAUUCAGGUUGCUUUGUCUAGAAAAUCUCCAUAUGUUCAAACUGCUCAUAGGGUCAGUGGACUCAUGCUCGCAAGUCAUACUAGUAUCCGGCACCUCUUCAGUAAGUGUUUAAGCCAGUAUGAGAAGUUGAGAAAGAAGCAAGCGUUUCUUGACAACUAUAGGAAGUUCCCAAUGUUUGCUGACAAUGAUCUUUCGGAAUUUGAUGAAUCAAGGGAUAUAAUUGAGAGUUUGGUUGAUGAAUAUAAAGCAUGCGAAUCUCCAGAUUACAUCAAAUGGGGAAUGGAGGAUCCAGACCACAUUCUGACUGGAGAAGGCAAUGUUACAGGCACAGUGGAUCCAAAAUUAUCACUGUGAACUAAACAAGUUUUAGCAUUUGCUGCUGAACUACCUGGAGGGAUGACAGGAAAAUGGGAUAGAUAUGUUUGUGUUCCAGUUUUUGCAGCCCUUUUGAACAUGUUUGCAGCAAAAAUGGCAAUGCGAUGAUGAAUCAUGAAUAUGGUUUUUUUUUUUUUUGGAUUUCAAAUUCAAAUUGAUCAUCCCAACCUAUUCUUCUUCAAAUUGGAUUUUGUUUGCAAGGUAAGAGCCAAACAAACAACAAUAGGAAGCUGAUGAUUAAAGACAGUGAACAAUACAAGCUGUCCCAGUCCUCCCUAGUUUGUCCAUGAAAAAGUUUUUGCCAGCUAUUCACACCCCCACCCCACCCCAAAAAUCCUA